ensembl:lncRNA
AGAGUUUGCAGCCGGUCUCCAGUGCUCACGGGACAGGCCCCUGCUGGCAAACCACCUCCCCCAGACAUCCUCGGAUGCUUCCUCCCAUGGGGGUGGGUGGGACAGGGCCACCAUGGCCGCACCCAGACUUCGGUCCCGCCCCUCGCCCCCCGUGCCUCUUGUCGUGUCCCCCUGGGUGUUAGCCACAGCCUGUCCCUGUGAGCCCUGGGCUCUGCCACGUCCCAGGCCCCGUGACCGGUUUGGGGGGCUGCCACCUGGGCCCGUGGCCUCUCCUCACACCUCUUCCCGUCACUGCUCAUCUCCACGAGCCACCUCCUUCCACCGAAAGCCACGCCGCAGGUCAGCCCUGUCCCUGGCACGCGGGCCGCAACCUGGUUGGGUCGGCCGGAGAACCAGACGGAAGAGGCGGGAGAAGCCCCCGGAGGAGCGCCACCCUGCACCCAGCCUUCCUUCCCGAUGCUCGCCUGGCGUCUCGCGCCCAGCGCCGUGCCUCUCCGCUCCUUCCUGGCUCCGGUCGAAGCCGCCAUCUGGAAUUCUCCACGGAAGAGACCUCGACGCGCGACCCGGCACCCUCCGGCUUUCAAAUCGUAAGUUGCUGGAGCGUGGGGAACGCAUCUGUGGCCUCGUCACUGAGGGUGGGGGGGCUGCCUCCCGGAGCACACUGCCAGGCAAGCCCCGCGGGAGGGAGUGGUGAGCACCGGCCAGUGGUCCGCUCACGGGGAGGUGGGUGCCCAGCGAGCCACACUGAUUGCGGACCUGGGGGGGCUUGUGUUCUAAGGCAGGACCCCCCAGCCUCCUUGUGUUGUCUCUGUGGCAAAAGAAUUCUAUAGGCGGCUUCGAGUGCCGGACCCCCAAAGAAUUCCUUCUCUUUCGAUCCUCUACCUGAAUGGCCCUUUCAUUAUUGAGUGUCCCUUUGGCUCUUGUGCCCCAGGGCAGACUAGGACGGAAGUGCCCUUGUGAGCUGGGGGGCCCUUCAAAGGGCCGAGGAAAAAACGCGGGCCGAGGGACCAGCCUCUCAAACGGGCUUCGAGCUCCAAUGACCUUCGCUCACCCCCUUGAAAUGUCUGGAAAACAGAAUGGGCAGAUUUUCUGUCUUCAAAGUUUCCGGCUAAGUCUCUUCAAGUUCUUUAUUGUUUGGGACUGAGACACUCAGCAAUGGUAAUGGGUAGUUGCUUUUGUAUCGGCCUUGAAAGGCCCAAAUAUUUUCAUAUUGCUACAGACAAAGCCGUCUAUUUAGAAAUGAAUGCCAUGUCUGUCGUUUCCCACUGGGGAGACUGUGUACAACGUGUGUGUCUCUGUGUACUCGAGGGUCUUGAAACAGGUUUCUCAUGGGGAUGCCCAUUCACCGGGGUCCAGGGGGAAGCACCAGGGAAGAGUCCAGGGGCCCUAACCCAUACCUGUCCCGGUUUGUCUAGGACGUGAGCCCCGGGAGGGUCUGGCUGCACUCACAUUUACUGUGCCUGUGCCUGAAUGUGCCAUGUGUAUGUGUUAAGGACUGUGGGGCGCGCACACCUUGGUGACCAGCUUGGUGGGAGGAAGCAGAAAGGUCGAAGACUGUGGACGUUCCGUUUGUCUUGUUGGGAGGUCAUUUCACUGGUAUCUCUUAACGUGGUCCAAAUAAGCGAAUGGAUGGAUGAAUGAAUGAAGGCACCGGGGCACGAAUAAACAAAUAACUAGGUGGGGAAGUGAAAAAGCC